rnacentral:rRNA from 1 species
GAGUUUGAUCAUGGCUCAGGACGAACGCUGGCGGCGUGCUUAACACAUGCAAGUCGAGCGUGCAGAGGACUUCGGUCCGAAGCAAGCGGCGGACGGGUGAGUAACGCGUGAACAAUCUGUCCCAGACAGGGGGAUAACACUCUGAAAAGGGUGCUAAUACCGCAUAAGACCACGUUCUCGCAUGGGAAUGGGGUAAAAGAUUUAUCGGUUUGGGGUGAGUUCGCGUCUGAUUAGCUAGUUGGUGAGGUAACGGCCCACCAAGGCGACGAUCAGUAGCCGAUCUGAGAGGAUGACCGGCCACAUUGGAACUGAGACACGGUCCAAACUCCUACGGGAGGCAGCAGUGGGGAAUAUUGGGCAAUGGGCGAAAGCCUGACCCAGCAACGCCGCGUGAGGGAAGAAGGUUUUCGGAUUGUAAACCUCUGUCCUAAGGGAAGAAGGAAGUGACGGUACCUUAGGAGGAAGCCCCGGCUAACUACGUGCCAGCAGCCGCGGUAAUACGUAGGGGGCGAGCGUUGUCCGGAAUGACUGGGCGUAAAGGGCGUGUAGGCGGCCUGUUAAGUUAGAAGUGAAAGUCCUGAUUUCAAGUUGGGAAUUGCUUUUAAUACUGAUGGGCUUGAGUGCAGAAGAGGUAAGUGGAAUUCCCAGUGUAGCGGUGAAAUGCGUAGAGAUUGGGAGGAACACCAGUGGCGAAGGCGACUUACUGGGCUGUAACUGACGCUGAGGCGCGAAAGCGUGGGGAGCGAACAGGAUUAGAUACCCUGGUAGUCCACGCGGUAAACGAUGAAUGCUAGGUGUAGGGGGUAUCGACCCCUCCUGUGCCGGAGUAAACACAAUAAGCAUUCCGCCUGGGGAGUACGGCCGCAAGGUUGAAACUCAAAGGAAUUGACGGGGGCC